GACGAACCGUGCGAACGUUGUUCGGAUUCACUGGGCUUAAAGGGCGCGUAGGCGGACGGUCAAGUCGGGGGUGAAAUCUUUCCGCUCAACGGGAAACGUGCCUUCGAUACUGAUCGUCUCGAGGGAGGCAGGGCAUGCGGAACUCCGGUGGAGCGGUGAAAUGCGUAGAUAUCGGAAGGAACGCCGGUGGCGAAAGCGGCGUGCUGGACCUCUUCUGACGCUGAGGCGCGAAAGCCAGGGGAGCGAACGGG
rnacentral:rRNA from 1 species